GAAGGUGGGCUGAGGGUGAUACCGGACGGCACCGUGGAGGAGACGCUCCUGGAGCAAGAGGUAGCCUGGCAGCACCGGCCCAAGGAAAAACAGCAACCCUGCAUGAGGGCGUGGUUGACUGUCUUCACGUGAUCAGAUCUACUUUACACUCAGGAGACUCACAGUGUGGAAGUGACUAUUUCUUUUUACUGGCUUCUCUCUGUUCAGAGGGCAUGUGAAAACCACAGCUGGAGAGAGGACUGCAAAUACGUAAGAGAAAGAGCUCUGCUGACAGCAAGGUAGAGGUGGAAGAAGGAUGGAAUGUGCUUCAGGCACUGGAGCAGCCGGUGGUCCAGGCCAUGGUGAGGCAGCUGUGCCUGCAGCCCAUGGAGAUCCACAGGGGAACUGAGAUCCAUCAGCAGCCUGUGGGAAACUCCAUACUGGAGUGGGUCAAUCUGUCCUGAAGGAAGCUAUGACUGCAUGGACAGUCCAUGCAGGAGAAGGCUCCUCAAAGGUUGUGAAGAGGAAGGAUCCCAUACUGGAGCAGGCUUGCUGGCACUAGCAACCUCUGCAGUUCUCAGAUUGAAGCAGUUUAUUUCCAUGAACUCCAUGGAAAGGACCCAGUGGGGCAGUUUGUGAAGGGCUGCAGCCCAUGGGAAGGAUCCAGUUUAGAAUAAAUGACUGUUUCCCGUGGAAGGGGACCCUAUGUUGGAACAGGGAAAGAGCAUGAAGAGGAGGAGCAACAGAGACAAAGUAAUAUGACUUGGCUAAAACCCCCAUUCCCUGUCCUACUCUAUGACAAGGUAGAGAUGUUGGGAAUUAAGUUGAUCUUGGGAAGAAGGGAGGGGUGGGAGCAAGGUGUUUUUUAGUUUUUUUUUCUUAUUUCUCAUUAUUUUACUCUCUUAGAUUAAUAAAUUAAUUUUUUUCCCCAAGUCAGAUCUGUUAUUUUAUAAAUUUAGAUCUAUAAAUAUUCUUGAAUGUUCAUAAAAUAAAUAGGGUCUCCUUUCUGUUUCAGAAAUCUCUUUAAAUAUCAAGACCUAUCAUAUAUUUAUUAAUAUCAAAGGGGCUUUGGAUCAGGGCAAAGGCAUGAGAAGUAUAUAACACAUUAUAUUUGAUUUUUUUUUUUUCUUCAGGCAAAAACAUAUAUUGUUGUUACUGUGAAUGUGUACUAGUAAAUAAAUUCAAAGAAUGUUCUUUUUGAAGUUAACUAAAAUAUAAUCCACUAAUCUAUAUCUUUUUAUACUUUGAACUGUAUCCAUAAGGGUAACACUAGAAGCUUUGCUCAAGAUCAGUACCUUCUGAUGCGUGUAGUGAGAUACUAUUUUUAUGCUGAAGAACAAGCAAUUCAAAUAGGCAAAUGGAAUGGGAAAUUGAGUGGUUUUAGCCUCCUCAUACUGAUAGAAAACUAGAACAUAAAAAUAAAGGGUUAUAUUCCGGCUUCCUUGAUGUUAACAGCAAAUUCCCUUUGAUUUCACUCAGACAAAAUUUUUAGUUGGUCUGUUUGCUCAGACAUCAUUAAAAAAAUCCAGCCAGAAAUUCUUUAAUUUCCAUACACUUUAUAUUAUUUAGCAGAAAGAUAAGUCAGUUUCAGAUCUUGUCAUUUUAUAAAACAUAUUUAUGAAGAAUUCUAGAUUUCCUUGUCUGUGUGUUAUUAAUUUUCUAGUCAUUGAAAAUCCUCAAAGAAUUAAAAUAAUAUUAGUCUCAGAAAUCUUUUAAGAAGAAAUAAGGAAGGUGGGUUUUCACAUGCCCAUAGGAAUAAUUAGUCACAGGUCCAUCUUCUGGGAUCAAAUUGAAAGUUAUGUAAAGAAAACAAAACAACACAGAUAAUUGGCCACCUAUCACAGAAUGAUCAAAAAAAAAGAUUAAUAUGGUUUACUAAAAAUUCUGCCAGCCUAUAUGAUUAGUAUAUAUCUUUAGGUAAUGUAAACAAGCAUAAUGUCUUUUCAUAUAGUUACAGACAAGUCCUUUGAAAACUUCUAAUGUUCAUUAACCUGUCUCCAGAGAGCUUGUUGGAAUACAAUUGCCAAGGACAUUUGCUAAGACUUUCACAUCCAGGUAGUGCCUACAGUGUUAUUAUUUCACUCUGUUAUUCUCUUAAAGGAUAGAGCUGAAACAGGCAACUUUAUAGUUAAAGAGAUAAAUUUAUCUGUCAAAAGAAACACAAGUGUCAAGACAACACUAUUUGUGCAAAAUUUAACCAUUAAUCCUGUGCAUUCAAAUGUUCAGCUGAUGGACUAUUCUGGAGCAGUGUACAUUUGGAUUUUGAUUUGGAUAAUAUCAGUAAAUAGAAAAAAAAAAUUGCACUUAUCACAUCUAGUAUUGAUUGUUUCCAAACAACUGGCAUACCUAAAUG